UUUGUAUUAAUUUAUUUUUAAGAUAUAGCGGACCCCAUAUAGUUGGGAUAAGUGCAAGUUGAUUUUUUAAUUUAUCUUAAGAAAGAAAUGUUGCUAAUUUAGCAAUGAUACAGAUUAUUCAUGCAAUAAAGUUACAUAUUUUGUUCCAUUCCUUUUAUUUUAGUGGCUUCCAAUGUUUCUCAUCGUUGCUCUACCUUUAUUAACUUUAAUGUACAUGGUAUAUGCAUGUUGGUUUAGGGUCGGUACAAUCUUAUGAUUGCUUUCUCUCCUACUGGUUGGACAUUUGGUAAAGGAAAGAAGAAGACUCCAGGGAGAAGGUGGCAGCAGGGUACAAUAAUCAGGUAUGAAGUCCCUUACAGUGAGCACUGCAGUUUCACAGAACUGAGAGAGUUUGUUCAGUUUGUAUCACCUGAGAAAAUAAUACCAAGUGUGAAUAAUGAUAGUACAGAAUCUGCUGAUGCCAUGAUUUCCCUUCUUGUAUCUUGAUUUCCAUUGUGCACAAUUGAAAAUCUUCAAUGGUAUUCAAGGCCUAAUAAGUAUUUGAAUUUGUAGGGUUCCAUA